UAAGCUUGUUCUGGGUAUAAGCUUUUGUGUGCAUGCACACUUCUUCAGAUGCAUGCACACAAAAGCUUAUACCCAGAACAAGUUGU